rnacentral:tRNA from 1 species
GCUUUUGUGAUGUAAAUGGGUAGCAUGACCAGCUAGCAAUUGAAACAUCCGCGGUUCGAAUCCCGGCGAGGGCA